rnacentral:rRNA from 1 species
CCCUUAGAUGUCCUGGGCUGCACGCGCGCUACACUGACACGAUCAACAAGUUUUUCCUGAUCCGAUAGGAUUGGGUAAUCUUUUGAAACCGUGUCGUGAUGGGGAUAGAUUAUUGCAAUUAUGGGUCUUCAACGAGGAAUUCCUAGUAAACGCAAGUCAUCAGCUUGCAUUGAUUACGUCCCUGCCCUUUGUACACACCGCCCGUCGCACCUACCGAUUGAAUGGUCCGGUGAAAUCUCGGGACGGCGGCUUGGUCGCUUGCGUCCGACUGCUGAAACUUGAUUAAACCAUAUCAUUUAGAGGAAGGUGAAGUCGUANCA